rnacentral:lncRNA from 1 species
UUUGGGCCCCAAGAUGGGCCUGGAGCAGAAAACCCAGAGAAUCCCUGAGCCCUCUGAUGGCUCUCUGUGCGUCAGCAGGCGGAGGAGCAAACGACUACUUCACGGAUCCAAGACUUCCCAACAAGAUUCACAUGCAGCUAAUUAAAGACAAGAAAGCGGCUUAAUUAGCAAAAUCAUGAUGCUCAGCUGUUGGGAGAGACCAGACGGAAUCCAGCCUCGGGGGUCAUCUGGAGGCAUGAGAGCCCUACUGCCAUCAGU